rnacentral:rRNA from 1 species
UAAACGGACCAUCGAGUAUCCAUUGGAGGGCAAGUCUGGUGCCAGCAGCUGCGGUAAUACCAGCUCCAAUAGCGUAUAUUAAAGUUGUUGCAGUUAAAAAGCUCGUAGUUGGACUUGUGUGCGCUGUCCGCGGGUGGCCUGCGCCCAAAAGGGCGUUUCGGUUCGGCCCCGGUGGCGCCUUGAAAUCUGCAGCUGGGGGGACGUUGGCCUUAACUGGUCGGCGACCGCACGCCGGCUGCUCGGUUACUGUGAGAAAAUUAGAGUGUUCAAGGCAGGCAUUGGGUGCAAUUGAAUACAUUAGCAUGGAAUAAUAAAAUAUGGCUCCUGCCGUAUUUUGUUGGUUUUGACUGGUGGGAGUAAUGAUUGAUAGGGACGGUUGGGGGUGCUAGUAUUGAGCGGCCAGAGGUGAAAUUCAUGGAUUCGCUCAAGACUAACUUAUGCGAAAGCAUUCACCAAGGACGUCCUCUUUAAUCAAGAACGAAAGUUGGGGGAUCGAAGACGAUCAGAUACCGUCGUAGUCUCAACCAUAAACUAUGUCGACUUGGGAUCGGCGGUAGUUUUUUCAUUAAGACACUGUCGGGACCACGGGAGAAAUCAAAGUGUCUGGACUCUGGGGGAAGUAUGGUCGCAAGGCUGAAACUUGAAGGAAUUGACGGAAGGGCACCACCAGGAGUGGAGCCUGCGGCUUAAUUUGACCCAACACGGGGAAACUUACCAGGUCCAGAGAUGUAGAGGAUUGACAGAUUGAAGCUCUUUCUUGAUCACUUCGGUGGUGGUGCAUGGCCGUUCUUAGUUGGUGGAGUGAUAUGUCUGGUUAAUUCCGUUAACGAACGAGACCUCAGCCUGCUAGUGUAGUCGGCUGGAUUGCCUUUGGCGAUCCGUGAUUUCGACUUCUUAGAGGGACAAUCGACGCGCAGUCGAUGGAAGUUUGAGGCAAUAACAGGUCUGUGAUGCCCUUAGAUGUUCUGGGCCGCACGCGCGCUACACUGCUGGGCUCAGCGAGUUUUACUUGGCCGAGAGGCCCGGUUAAUCUUGUGAAAUCCCAGCGUGCUUGGGCUCGCCUCCUGCAACUGGAGGCGCCAACGAGGAAUUCCUAGUAGACGCAGGUCAUCAACCUGCAUCGAUUACGUCCCUGCCCUUUGUACACACCGCCCGUCGUUCCAUAAGAGUGAGGCAUCCGGUGAAUUCUCGGGAGAGCCUGGGCGUGGCCAGCAAUGGUCUGCUCGGGUUUGAACUUGCAUAAACUUGGUGCCUAUGAUUAGUG